rnacentral:rRNA from 1 species
UACGUAGGGGGCAAGCGUUGUCCGGAAUUAUUGGGCGUAAAGAGCGUGUAGGCGGCCAGGUAGGUCUGGUGUGAAAACUCGAGGCUUAACCUCGAGAUGUCAUCGGAAACCAUCUGGCUAGAGUCCGGAAGAGGAGAGUGGAAUUCCUGGUGUAGCGGUGGAAUGCGCAGAUAUCAGGAAGAACACCCGUGGCGAAGGCGGCUCUCUGGGACGGUACUGACGCUGAGACGCGAAAGCGUGGGGAGCGAACAGG